UACGGAGGGUGCGAGCGUUGUCCGGAAUCAUUGGGCGUAAAGGGCGCGUAGGUGGCCCGGUCAGUUCGUGGUGAAAGCGCGGGGCUCAACCCUGCGUCGGCCAUGAAUACUGCCGCGGCUGGAGCACUGUAGAGGCAGGCGGAAUUCCGGGUGUAGCGGUGGAAUGCGUAGAGAUCCGGAAGAACACCGGUGGCGAAGGCGGCCUGCUGGGCAGUUGCUGGACACUGAGGCGCGACAGCGUGGGGAGCGAACAGG
rnacentral:rRNA from 1 species